rnacentral:lncRNA from 1 species
AAUGUCUUGCUCUCAACCCCAACGCCUAAAACCCACAAAACCUUAAGGAAUAGAUUCGUAAUCCCGCAAUCAAUUCUUAGCAAAAAACCCAAUUCCUCAAAUGAUUUCAAUUUUCAAUCGAAAGCCACUUUAGCUGCUCUGCUAUUCUCUUCAAUCACAACACCACAAGCCUUAGCAGACACCAAUCCACCACCACCACCGCCACAAGCCCCACUUCAAGCUGAAUUAGUUAAACAAAACCCAUCAACAAAUUCUUUACCGUUUUCACAAUCAAAUGUUCUCACUGCACCAAAACCCCAGGCCAGUUCCGACCUUCCUGAAGGUAGCCAAUGGAGAUACAGCGAGUUCUUAAAUGCAGUCAAGAAAGGGAAAGUCG